rnacentral:lncRNA from 1 species
AGUUUUUAUAUAAUUCAUCUCUUUGACCAAAAUGAUCAUAGUAUAUCUCAGAGUUUCACUAUCAAACUCUGAUCAGAUUGUCCACAUUAUAUUUCAAAAUAUCAAAUCCAUCUGAUGGAUUACUCUGGCCAAGGUUUUGCUAAAUUGAAAUAUAGCGACACAUUCUUCUCCAACUCUUGGAGUGGUCAAUCCCAUCUCGAUCACACUCUGACUUUGUAAGUACUUGACUGUGCCCAGAAG